GUCAGUGUGGCCGAGUGGUUAAGGCGGUAGAUUCGAAAUCUACUGGGUUCGCCCGCGCCAGUUCGAAUCUGGUCGCUGACG
rnacentral:tRNA from 1 species